rnacentral:rRNA from 1 species
UCUACGGGAGGCAGCAGUGGGGGAUAUUGCACAAUGGGGGAAACCCUGAUGCAGCGACGCCGCGUGUGGGAAGACGGUCCUCUGGAUUGUAAACCACUUUCCCCAGGGACGAAGAUGACGGUACCUGGGGAGGACGCUCCGGCUAACUACGUCCCAGCAGCCGCGGUAAUACGUAGGGAGCGAGCGUUGUCCGGAAUUACUGGGUGUAAAGGGAUCGUAGGCGGGACUGCAAGUAGGGUGUCAAAUCUACCGGCUCAACCGGUAGCCGCACUCAAAACUGCAGUUCUGGAGGGAAGUAGAGGAAGGCAGAAUUCCUGGUGUAGCGGUGAAAUGCGUAGAUAUUAGGAGGAACACCAGUGGCGAAGGCGGCCUGCUGGGCUUUUACUGACGCUGAGGCUCGAAAGUGUGGGGAGCAAACAGGAUUAGAUACCCGUGUAGUC